UUAGAGCCUCGAGGAACUCCUUGCCUAGCUGGAUGGUCAUUUGGCAUCUCCUCUGGGAUCUGGCAGGGCUCCUAGACGUUGUCUUGUAUGGGCCCAGGCCACUACUGGCUGUGAGAGGAGAGGCCUGCCUGGGUCGUUGUCAGCCCUGUGCCAGAUGCAUGUCUACCAAGGGACCCUGAGAUGGAUUCAGUUCCAGAGACAGUGGGAUCCCGAGAGGCAGGCCCCUGUCUUUUUGAUUUUCGGUGAGCCUCUUUUGAAGCUGUUGCUUCUGUAGCCAGGGGCAUGCCAGAGGUUGUGUUUCAGCUGGGGCGAAAUAGAGUGCCUUCUUCUGGAAUGUUGGGCAAUGUAGCCCAAGGGUCCCCAGCUGGGGUGGAGCAGAAGGUGGUCUGAACAGGAGAGGCAGUGGGAGGAAGGGCUGGGCCUGGGUCCGAGGCGGGGAGAGGGCCUGGGACUGAGGCAAGUUUUGAGUGGAAGGCUGAGGUUGGGCCUCAGGGCAGGGCAAGAAGGAGUCCUGGGAAAAACCUCCAGAUAUUCUCUGUGGCGUGGGCUCUGGAAAGCCACUCGAGAUGCCAUAGAAUAAAACGGGGGGAGCCUGUAGUUGAGAAGAGCUCCGAGGGACAAAAGCAGUAGCCACCAAUGCCUCGCUGUGCAGAGAGGGGAGACCCCAGAAGAGCUGGCUGUAUGUGCACUCGAAGUGGUCCCUCAAGACCUCGGGGUAUAAGAACUGCUGAGGACCAGGCAGCAGCUCUGCUUUGUCUUUGAUGUUCCCGAGAGAUGGAGGGGUUGUAGCCUCCUGCGGCCCACUCAGUGAUGUCCACAUCAUCCCUAAAGAGCUCAGGGGGUAGUCUGAGCUCCUUUGUGUUGAAAAUGACCCCUCUUUUUCUCGCUCUUUUUGAAACUUUAGGUCCAGCCUCUUGGGGAUGAGGAUGUCCAGCAGCCUCUGGCUAGGCAGGCUGACAAGCGAGGGGCCACUCGUCUCUGCCCAGCUGUCUGUGGGGCUUUCCCAGUUGGAGGCCUCCUCUGGUGAGGAGGGCUCUUGCUGGGCCUCCGGCUUGGAUGAGGUGGGGAAGAACAAGGCCUUGGUGGUCUCCCACCAGCAGGAGAGGAAUGCCAUGGGACGGCUGGCGAGGCCAAGACUCCAGAUGGCUGGGAUGGCAGAUGCCCAAAAGGAGUUACCUGGAGGUGGUAGUGAGGACGGAUCACUCAUGAGGUAG
rnacentral:lncRNA from 1 species